UACGGAAGGGGCAAGCGUUGUUCGGAAUCAUUGGGCGUAAAGGGCGCGUAGGUGGUUCUGUAUGUCUAUCGUGAAAGCGUACGGCUCAACCGUAUUUUGUCGGUAGAAACUGCAGGACUUGAGGCUGGGAGGGCUGGUGGAAUUCCCUGUGUAGCGGUGAAAUGCGUAGAGAUGGGGGAGAACACUCGUGGCGAAGGCGGCCAGCUAGACCAGUUCUGACACUGAGGCGCGACAGCGUGGGGAGCAAACAGG
rnacentral:rRNA from 1 species